rnacentral:rRNA from 1 species
UACGAAGGGGACUAGCGUUGCUCGGAAUCACUGGGCGUAAAGGGUGCGUAGGCGGGUUUUUAAGUCAGGGGUGAAAUCCUGGAGCUCAACUCCAGAACUGCCUUUGAUACUGAAAAUCUUGAGUUCGGGAGAGGUGAGUGGAACUGCGAGUGUAGAGGUGAAAUUCGUAGAUAUUCGCAAGAACACCAGUGGCGAAGGCGGCUCACUGGCCCGAUACUGACGCUGAGGCACGAAAGCGUGGGGAGCAAACAGG